UAUGUUUACCAAGGUUGAAAGAUUUGCUACGUUUAUAAAAAUUGUGACAAAUAUCCAUCAAUUCAUAGGCUUUUAAAAAUGCCAUACAGCAACUUAUGUGAAAUGAUAGUGGAUUUGUUUGUUAUUGUAAUUAACUGGACUAUUGAGAAUUCGGGGGAUACUGAUUCCUACAUAAUUGUACUACUGUUCUUUAUAUUUUUUAAAAAAAUGUUACCUUGUGAAAUUCAUUUGCUUGUACUCACAGUGGAUCAUGGCCAGAUAUGAAGAGGAAAUGGAUCUCAUUUUUGGACAAGAUUUACAAAAGAGCCAUUGCACAGGACCAAUGAAGCACAAAGCUAAACCUGAUUAGUGCCACAAAGAGCACACAGGAUAUAUUAUUGUGAAGACUCAAGGUUGUGACACUUAACAUAUGUUAAAACGUAGGACUUCCUUGUAUCCACACUCACUCUGAAAACACUUACAGACGAGUAUCCCAAACUUGGCUCCUACUUGGCUCCUAUAAUCUAGUCCCUUUUCUGUCUUUUAUAGUGAGGCAAACUUCCUGUAGUUCUGGCUGCUGCCUGGGUAAAUGCUUACUUGCUUAGAUCAUUUUAAUUGGGCCCUGAUUCAAGGACCUGUUAUAGAUUUUCUUUUCCUUUACUUGGAAUUUUUACACAUAAAACUUUGAUAGUCUAUAUUUUCCUCCAGAAAUUAUCUUUUUUUAAUUUGGAUUUUUCUGAUAUCUUUAAUUUCUCUUGCAAAUUGAUUCAUAUACCUCAUAACUCAGCCAUGCAUCCCUAAGUGAUCCUGUGUUUUUCAAUCACCCUCUUCACAGGAAAUGUAAAAAUAUUAUUUUAAAUUGCAAAGUUUAAAUUCCUUUUAAGAAGAAUUUUAGGUUAAGAAACAUGAUACCUCUCCAAAUCCAGAAACUGAACUGUUUGGAGAAGACACCAUGAAGAUGUCUCCAGACCACAAGCUACAAGGGAAGAUCAAGAAUGAACGUUGGGUGUGGUUGAUUGAACAUUUAUUUGUAUGUAUACUUCCAUGCCAAAGGGGACUGCCCCCAACUGGCUUUUUGUCAAUGCGUCUAGCAAUUAUUGGUUUUGUUCUUUUUUCCUCUUAUCCUCAAAUUAUUGUAAUCUUUAAGUUGAUUAUGUUUUCAUGAUCCUUUUGGGGAAAAUCUUUCCAAAUAAGGAUCAAACAGAGAAUUUGUAAAAAUGGAGAUUUGAACCCCAGAUUCAAUUCUCAGAAGUCCUUGGUAGUUCCCAAAUUCCCCAAAAUCCCACCUAAGGUCCUCACCUGGGCCGAGAGCAAACAGGGUAUUUAAACUGACUGUACUGCCCACGCUCUCUCUCGGCUUUCAUUUCUGAAGCACACGCGGCUCUCUACCUAGCAGGCAAGAUGUAGGUUACACGUGCUUUCUUAUUUUGUAUUUUCUUUAUUUCUUAAUCUUUAAUAAACCUCUAAAAAUAUAA